rnacentral:rRNA from 1 species
GACGAACGCUGGCGGCGUGGAUUAGGCAUGCAAGUCGAACGGUAUCAUCCUUUCGGGGGUGAGAGAGUGGCGAACUGGUGAGUAACACGUAGGUUAUCUACCCUCAAGACGGGGACAACCCAGGGAAACUUGGGCUAAUACCGGAUGUGAGCAACUUUUAGUUGUUUGAAAGGUGGCGUAAGCUGUCGCUUUGGGAUGGGCCCGCGUCCCAUUAGCUAGUUGGUGAGGUAACGGCUCACCAAGGCGACGAUGGGUAGCCGGCCUGAGAGGGUGGACGGCCACACUGGGACUGAGACACGGCCCAGACUCCUACGGGAGGCAGCAGUAGGGAAUAUUGCGCAAUGGACGGAAGUCUGACGCAGCGACGCCGCGUGAGCGAUGAAGGUCUUCGGAUCGUAAAGCUCUGUCCUUGGGGAAGAAGGCGAAAGCUUGACGGUACCCAAGAAAGAAAGCCCCGGCUAACUAACGUGCCAGCAGCCGCGGUAAAAUCAACGUGUA